rnacentral:rRNA from 1 species
CGGCGAGUGAAGCGGGAUGAGCUCAAGCUUAAAAUCUCCAUGCAAAUUUUGCAUGGCGAAUUGUAGUCUAUAGAAGCGUGAUUAGCGUAGGCACUUGGGGUAAGUUCCUUGGAAGAGGACAGCAUCGAGGGUGAUACUCCCGUUUUUCCCCGAGUUGCUUAUGCGUACAAUCCGUUUUCUUUGAGUCGCGUUGUUUGAGAAUGCAGCGCAAAGUAGGUGGUAAAUUCCAUCUAAAGCUAAAUAUUGGUGCGAGACCGAUAGCAUACAAGUACCGUGAGGGAAAGAUGAAAAGAACUUUGAAAAGAGAGUUAAAGAGUACCUGAAACUGCUGAAAGGGAACCAAAUCGUUUCCAGUGUUCAUAAUCCUUGGUAUAUUUCAUUGGCGAAUGUGUGCGUGCGUGUACUAUGGCAGCGGCUUUUUGCUGCGCCUUGUGUGUGUAGCAUUUUCUUGCCGAUGCUCUGUACCGUGGUGGGACGUCAUUGUCGGUUCGUAAACUGCGGGAAAUGACUGCCGAGGAGGUAGGGCGAACGCUUGCGUUUGUCUGUUAUAUCUUGGCAGACGUAGUAGUCGCGGUUGGGACUGAGGUGCCUACAAUGUGCUUAUGAGUGGUAUCGAUUCUCCUUUUGCGCUGUGUGCGAAUAGCUUGCUAUGCGCGUGUGGCUGCGUGUGGAUUGA